UAAAUUUUGUCUUGCAAUGUUGUACCGGCGGUAGCAGACUUGCAACAUACUUAAGUUAGACAUAUGUAAAAUAUUUUUAGUUUUUUUUCAAAAAUUGUUAAAAGUAAAAAAAAAAAAAUAGGCUGUAAAAAAACAGUGUGUUCAACACUUAAAGUUAGACAUAUGUAAAAUAAUUUGUUUUUUUCAAAAAUGGUCAAAAAUAAAAA
rnacentral:lncRNA from 1 species